AUUGAACGCUGGCGGCAUGCUUUACACAUGCAAGUCGAACGGUAACAGAGAAAAGCUUGCUUUUCUGCUGACGAGUGGCGAACGGGUGAGUAAUACAUCGGAACGUACCCUGUAGUGGGGGAUAACUACUCGAAAGAGUAGCUAAUACCGCAUACAACCUGAGGGUAAAAGUGGGGGACCGCAAGGCCUCACGCUAUAGGAGCGGCCGAUGGAAGAUUAGGUAGUUGGUAGGGUAAAGGCCUACCAAGCCGACGAUCUUUAGCGGGUCUGAGAGGACGAUCCGCCACACUGGGACUGAGACACGGCCCAGACUCCUACGGGAGGCAGCAGUGGGGAAUUUUGGACAAUGGGCGAAAGCCUGAUCCAGCAAUGCCACGUGAGUGAAGAAGGCCUUCGGGUUGUAAAGCUCUUUUGUUUGGGAAGAAAUCCCUAAGGAUAAUACCCUUGGGGGAUGACGGUACCAAAAGAAUAAGCACCGGCUAACUACGUGCCAGCCGCCGCAGUAA
rnacentral:rRNA from 1 species